UACGAAGGGGGCUAGCGUUGUUCGGAUUUACUGGGCGUAAAGCGCACGUAGGCGGAUCGUUAAGUCGGGGGUGAAAUCCUGGAGCUCAACUCCAGAACUGCCCUUGAUACUGAGGAGCUCGAGUCCGGAAGAGGUGAGUGGAACUGCGAGUGUAGAGGUGAAAUUCGUAGAUAUUCGCAAGAACACCAGUGGCGAAGGCGGCUCACUGGUCCGGUACUGACGCUGAGGUGCGAAAGCGUGGGGAGCAAACAGG
rnacentral:rRNA from 1 species